AAAUUAUUCUAAUAGGCAGCAUGAGAUUAUAACAAGAGUUUGUGCUAACAUCAUGACUAUUGAGACGUUUAGGCUCUAAUUGUGACUCACUAUGUGAUAUUGUGUGGUGUAAUUCCUUCAUCUGUUGGGUAAAGAGUCUAUACUACUCCCAAUAAAGUCAACCAUGUGCCUUGUGUGUGAGAUGAUAGUAUAUUCUAUGUUUGUGGCGGAUGCUAGAACUUGCCUGGUAUGUAUGUAAAGCGAAAAUAAAGAGUGAAAGUUUAGGAGAUGAUUUAGGCAUUUCUUUGGCAACCUAUGAUUGUUUACCUUCUUUUUACCUACCUGCGGACAUCAUCCUAGUUAACCCCUUUUGAACUUNACUUUAGCCUAUUUUCUUUGACAACCUCAUAUGUAAGCCUAAUCUAUCUUUUCAAGACCAUAAUUUGAUCCAAAUUCCUAAGUGCUUUAAAGUAUAAAGUCAUGUGACAAAAUAAGAGGAAAUUGGGUGAGUAUGAUGCUUUAGAAUGUAUUGGUGCUUGAAUUGGUUAUGAAAAAGAAAGUGUUAUCAUAAGAGGUAUAUUAUGAAAAGAAAAAGGAAAGGAAAGCUGAAAAGUUGCUUAAAAUUGAAAAACAAAAGAGGAGAAAAAGGGUGGUAGAAUAAAAGAAAGUAGAAAGGUUGUUUGAAAGAAAAGUGUUAAUGAUACAAUGUGAUGUAUUAAAGCGCUUAGGAACAUAGUCACUAUUUCUGGCCAAAAUAGUCCUACCUGUCCCUUAGCCUACAUUACAACCAUCAAAAGACCUAUUUGAUCCUAAGCUUAGUAUUCUGAUCUUUAGUAGAGCAUUACACUAAGGGCAAGCCUAUGGUCAUCAGUUGAUACAUAUGAAUUCUUUGUGAGAGCGAGAGCAAGGAUACUUUUAUACCCAUGUUUGAAAAAGAUGCUAUACUUGUAAGUGAUUAUGGGUAAUAUAUUGUGAGACACACAUGGUUGAUGAGUUUUGGAUAGUUGUGUAUGACUCUUUGUGCCUUAACUUUUAAAUACUAAUUAACCAUCAUCAUGAGUCUAUACUAGAGGUUGAAUUGUUUCUACUAAUGAUUGGAAAACUACUCUUUGUUGGCAAUUUUUGUGCUUAUCUUGAUGAAUAUUUUGUGUUGUUGCUGUGAAACCUUAAGUUAGUGUUUAGAGGGACAUUAUAUUUUGUUUGAGGACGAACACUGCCCCCUCUUCCCCUCACUCUCCUUUCCCUAAUAUAAACCUUGAGUCAUCAAAGCCUUUUUAACUCGGCCUGGCCCGGUCGCCCUACGCGACUGGUGCUUCAAAAGGCGAAACUCUCGGUCGUAGUUUGGCGACCUAUCUUCAGUAGGGGACAUUAUUCUUUUGAUUAGAGUAGGGGUCCUGAAAGAGCAAAGCAUACCGCCCUGCCAUAGUCACGAGUCUGUUUAUAGUCACGACUGUUGUCAUAGUUAACAAGGUUGAAGCUUCCAGGAAAAAACUUCAAAUUGGGAGGGCGAUCCUCCCGGUGAACUGACCGUACCCCAAACCGACAUAGGUGAACAAGUAGAGUAUACUAGGGUACUUGAGAGAACCAUAUCGAAAAGACUCGGCAAAAUAACCCCAUAACUUCGUGAGAAAGGGUACUCUCCUAUCUUUUAAUUAGGAAAGCGACACAUACCAGGGGGCAGUGACUAUUUAUUAAAAACACAGGACUCUGCUAAGUGGUAACACGAUGUAUAGAGUCUAACACCUGCCCUGUGCUGGAAGGUCAAAAGAAGAAGUGUUAUAAGCUUUGAAUGGAAGCCUCGGUAAAUUGCGACAGUAACUCUAACUGUCCUAAGGUAGCAAAAUUCCUUGUCGCAUAAGUAGCGACCUACACAAAUGGUGUAACGGAUGCCCCGCUGUCUCCGACAUAGACCUGAUGAAAUUAAAAUCUCCGUAAAGAUGCGGAGUACCACUGGCUAGACGGUAAGACCCCGUGCACCUUAAUUAUAGCCUUACAGUGACAACCUUAAUCAAAUGUGUAAGAUAGGUGGGAGGUGGUGACACAUAACGACCAAUCCUGAGAGAGAACUCUUUCAUUUAAGGAUGCCCAACCACCACGCCGAUCAUUCGGGAGAAAGCAAGACACUACGAGAUGGGUAGUUUAUCUGGGGCGGAUACCUCCUAAAGAGUAACAAAGGUGUGCGAAGGUGUGAGAAGGUAGGCUCAAGCUAAGAUUCUGCUCGUGAGCAUAAUGGUAUAAGCCUGGCUGACUGUGAGACCGACUGGUCGAACAGAGACAAAAGUCGUCUAUAGUGAUCCAGGAGUCCCGUGUGAAAGGGCUCUCGCUCAACGGAUCAAAGGUACGCCAGGGAUAACAGGUUGAUGACUCCCAAGAGCUCUUAUCGAUGGAGUCGUUUGGCACCUCGAUAUUGAUUCAUCACAUCCUGGGGUUGAAGAAGGUCCCAAAGGUUUGGUUGUUCACUGAUUCAAGUGGUACGUGAUUUGGGUUUAGAAUGUCAUGAGACAGUUUGGUUUCUAUCUACCGUUGGUGUUAAAGGGAGAACUGCGAGGAGCCAACCCUAGUAUGAGAGGACUGGGUUGGGAUAACCUAUGGUGUACCGGUUGUUAUGCCAAUAGCAGCGCUGGGCAGCUAAGUCAUUAUGGAAGAACUGUUGCGCCAUAGGAACUCCUUCUCUAAACAAGUUCUCGGAUGAGGUUUUUGAAUAGAACUUUGCUAGGCGAGAGGUGUAAGCACCGCGAGGUGUGAAGCGAUCUCGUACUAAAUGAAACGUCUUUCACUU
rnacentral:rRNA from 1 species